rnacentral:rRNA from 1 species
UACAGAGGUCCCAAGCGUUGUUCGGAUUCACUGGGCGUGAAGGGUGCGUAGGUGGCCGGGUAAGUCUGAUGUGAAAUCUCCGAGCUCAACUCGGAAAUGGCAUUGGAAACUAUCCGGCUGGAGGAGUGGAGGGGGGACUGGAAUACUUGGUGUAGCAGUGAAAUGCGUAGAUAUCAAGUGGAACACCAGUGGCGAAGGCGAGUCCCUGGACACUUCCUGACACUGAGGCACGAAAGCUAGGGGAGCAAACAGG